CGCUGGCGGCGCGCCUAACACAUGCAAGUCGAACGAGCGAGAGAGAGCUUGCUUUCUCGAGCGAGUGGCGAACGGGUGAGUAACGCGUGAGGAACCUGCCUCAAAGAGGGGGACAACAGUUGGAAACGACUGCUAAUACCGCAUAAGCCCACGACCCGGCAUCGGGUUGAGGGAAAAGGAGCAAUCCGCUUUGAGAUGGCCUCGCGUCCGAUUAGCUAGUUGGUGAGGUAACGGCCCACCAAGGCGACGAUCGGUAGCCGGACUGAGAGGUUGAACGGCCACAUUGGGACUGAGACACGGCCCAGACUCCUACGGGAGGCAGCAGUGGGGAAUAUUGCACAAUGGGGGAAACCCUGAUGCAGCGACGCCGCGUGGAGGAAGAAGGUCUUCGGAUUGUAAACUCCUGUUGUUGGGGAAGAUAAUGACGGUACCCAACAAGGAAGUGACGGCUAACUACGUG
rnacentral:rRNA from 1 species